GACGAACGCUGGCGGCGUGCUUAACACAUGCAAGUCGAACGAUAAAGCAGAGAUACGCGAACUUCGGUUCAAAUUUCACUUCGGAUUAGUGGCAGACGGCUGAGCAACGCGUCAGCAACCUACUUCUUACAAAGGGAUAGCCUCGGGAAACCGCGAUUAAUACCAUAUGACACAUUCAUAAGGCAUCUUAAGAAUGUUAAAGCUACGGCGGUAAGAGAUGGGCUCGCGUCUCAUUAGCGAGUUGGUGAGGUAACGGCCCGCCAACGCGAGGAGGGGGACCUGAGCUGAGAGGCGGCACGGUCAGAAUGGAGCUGAGACACAGUCUACACCCCGACGGGAGGCAGCAGUAGGGAAUAUUGCAGAAGGGAGCGUGCUGUGAUGCCGCCGCGUGGCGUGAGAGAUGAAGCAAGUCGUUAAGUAAAGCUGUGUUCGAUGAAAAGAAAAUGACGGUACCAAAGGAGGAAGCCCCGGCUAAAUACGUG
rnacentral:rRNA from 1 species